UUCAAAUUGCUCAUCUUGUUGAUCGAAUAAGACUAGAUUGUUUGUUUAAUAACGCUAUUCAGAAAUAGGGGCAAGUUAUUAUCCUCUUUCUUAAUCUAUAAUAAUAAUGUUUAACCUAGCUGUCACAAGAAAUGUUCAAAUAAAUCUUGGAAAUACCCUGCAUGAUAACCUGCCUGAAGAUCAACAAAUUUCGACAUUAGUUUCUCUUACAUGUGCCUUAAAAAUAUAACUGUGUAGGCGAUUUUAAAUAAUUGGGAAGGAGUGAUGAUGAUUCAAAAACCACAAACUAGGCAGAAAAUCUGGUGCAUUUAUUGAAAACAAAGUAGAGAAGUUUCAGUUUGUCACUCCAAUGGACGCGCUUGGAUGGUUCGUAAUUGGCUCAGAAGGAUAUGCAGUAAGAGCCGAGUCAGACGACGAGAAUUUUGUCAUUUACCUCACUGAUAUGACUUCAAUUUGGUGUGAACGACAAACAGCUACUGAGAUUAUGAAACGGUGUCAGGAAUUAAACCCUUUAAUCGAGUCGACAGUAAAACAUCUGAUCCAACAACUUCGCACAUUGCUAAAUAGCUAUUCGGAGAGUAAUAGUCUAACGAUAGUUUCAGUUGAUCAAAACAUCACAUUGAAACUAGAAUCUCACUUGGACGGUAAUCUACCCUUUUCUUGGGAAUUUCAUUUGACUUUGGAAACCGCUGAUCAGUUUCAAUCUUUUAUAAUUCGUCCAUUGUUGGCAAUGCUAAGAGAAGCAGCUUGCGUCGAAGAAGAGCUUUGCAACAUCAUCCGAAGCAAAGAUAAGCAAAUUGACGACUACAAAGCUUCAGGUGCAACCGUAUCCCGCCGUCACUUGGAAACCAAAGAAUUCAAUGCGGAAACAUUCUUCGCUUCACGUAUAACGCGCACUAUUGAAGAGAGCGCCAAAGAAAAAAUUACAUCUCUGUUCUGUAGAGUUGUUGAUAGAUUAAAACAGUUGUAUUCGGUUGCUGUCGAAAGGAUUUAUUUCCAAAGUUCAAUAGCACGUCGCUCAGCUUUAACUGUUCCAGACGUAUCUGCCGAAUUGACAGAAGAGAUUCCGAACAGAGGACAAACUUCAACACAAUCACCAGCCAAAGAGAGUGAAGAGAGCCGAUCAGAAGCCAUUAAAAAGCGAUUACGUGAAGAAGAACAGAAAGAGAUGGCCAAAAGAGCUAAAAAGGCGUGUUUAGCAAAAAUAUUGUAAAAUCCCUGCAUCGUACUCUUUGACACAGGUUUGUAAAUUUUUUUAAGUUAGAAACUUGAUAAACUCAAACAAGGUGAUUAAUUUAAGUUGAAGUCGUUAAAGUCAAAAGAUUAGCCUUCAUGCUAUAAGAUUGAAUGAAGAUGAGGUCCGUAGAGUGGCGAGUGCACAUCUCGAGUUGAAUUUAAUCGAGUCCCAAUGUUUCCAUUACAUUAUCUUACUGAUUUUUGUUCCAAAAUGGACAUGCAUACGUGUCUUAAUAUCUUUGCUUGUACGUUUUGGAUGUAACUUCAAAUUUCAAGAUUAAAUAAUAAGCACACGAUGUCAGAAAGAAAUAGCAGAUCUAAUCUAGCAAUGCGCAUCUAACAAGAGAUGUACGCUCAAGAUUUUCUUGGAGUGGCGGAGUACUAAAGCGGUAAUAUAAGCAUAAAAAGCAUCUAAUAAAUAUGUCUCGAACAAA